ACUGGGGUUGGCCGAGAUGGUUAAGGGCGUUGGACUUAAGUUCCAAUGGACAAGUGUACGCUUGGGGUAUCGAACCCCCACACCCAGUA
rnacentral:tRNA from 1 species